AACGAACGCUGGCGGCGUGGAUAAGACAUGCAGGUCGAGCGAUGACUCCAGGGUAGCAAUAUUUUGGAGUUGGAGCGGCGCAAGGGUGCGUAACACGUGGGUAAUUUGCCGCGAAGCCUGGAAUAACUCGCUGAAAGGCGAGCUAAUGCCGGAUGUGAAGUUUGGAUGGCAUCUUUUGAACUUCAAAGCUGGGGACCGCAAGGCCUGGCGCUUCGCGANAAGCCCGCGGCCUAUCAGCUAGUUGGUGAGGUAACGGCUCACCAAGGCUAAGACGGUAGCUGGUCUGAGAGGACGACCAGCCACACUGGAACUGAGACACGGU
rnacentral:rRNA from 1 species